GCAUCGUCCCUACCGCAUUACCUUUCCUUUCCCUUGACUCAAUCUCUCUCUAUAUCAAAAUGCAAGGGGCACUCAUCGUAGAACUAUACUCACCGGCAACUAUUUACACAGUGAAGAGUUUCGAGAAUUCCACAUAGUGCGUGUUUUUUUACCGCGCAUAAUUGGACCGGAAAAUUCGUCACAAUGUAAGAUGGUUGUCAGAUCACCAGCGGAAUUACCCCAGGAAAAGAAGCAUGUGUUUGGGUAGUUGAUGCUUUAAGGAGUUGAAAGCGGGUUUCGAGGUGAGAUGGAAGAGAUUGAGAAGAAGCUGAUGGGUUGUUGAUGGCUGCGGCUUGUUCAAGAAUCACCAUAUCCAUUGCUUCGCGAAGAAGCUCCUCCACUGCCUUCUCAUCAUCUCUCUUGCUUCCCAUUUUCAUCACAUCCAACUUAAUUACGCGUGUGAGUGAGAAAAUCUAGAGUUGAUGUAAUUAUAAAUAGUGUUUGUGAUCCUAUUUUUUCAACCAGUUUUUCCAUGAGUUCUUGUUAGAAAUCCACUGAUCUUUGAUUGAGUUUGUGAAGUUCCAACA